UGGGGAAUUUGGACAAUGGGCGAAAGCCUGAUCCAGCAAUGCCGCGUGUGUGAAGAAGGCCUUCGGGUUGUAAAGCACUUUUGUCCGGAAAGAAAUCCUUGGCUCUAAUACAGUCGGGGGGAUGACGGUACCGGAAGAAUAAGCACCGGCUAACUACGUGCCAGCAGCCGCGGUAAUACGUAGGGUGCAAGCGUUAAUCGGAAUUACUGGGCGUAAAGCGUGCGCAGGCGGUUUGCUAAGACCGAUGUGAAAUCCCCGGGCUAACCUGGGGAACUGCAUUGGUGACUGGGCAGGCUAGAGUAUGGCAGAGGGGGGUAGAAUUCCACGUGUAGCAGUGAAAUGCGUAGAGAUGUGGAGGAAUACCGAUGGCGAAGGCAGCCCCCUGGGGCCAAAUACUGACGCUCAUGCACGAAAGCGUGGGGAGCAAACAGGAUUAGAUACCCUGGUAGUCCACGCCCUAAACGAUGUCAACUAGUUGUUGGGGAUUCAUUUCCUUAGUAACGUAGCUAACGCGUGAAGUUGACCGCCUGGGGAGUACGGUCGCAAGAUUAAAACUCAAAUGAAUUGACGGGGUCAUAGCUGUUUCCU
rnacentral:rRNA from 1 species